rnacentral:ncRNA from 2 species
UACGGAGGGGACUAGCGUUGUUCGGAAUUACUGGGCGUAAAGCGCACGUAGGCGGAUUUGUAAGUCAGGGGUGAAAUCCCGAGGCUCAACCUCGGAACUGCCUUUGAUACUGCAAAUCUCGAGUCCGGAAGAGGUGAGUGGAAUUCCUAGUGUAGAGGUGAAAUUCGUAGAUAUUAGGAAGAACACCAGUGGCGAAGGCGGCUCACUGGUCCGGUACUGACGCUGAGGUGCGAAAGCGUGGGGAGCAAACAGG